GCAGGAUGAGUCUGCUCCAGCUGACAAACAGUGUAAACCAGAGGCGACCCAGGCCACUUACUCAACAUCAGCUGUUCCAGGCUCACAGGACGUGCUGUACAUCAAUGGAAAUGGGACCUAUAGUUACCAUAGUUACAGAGGGCUAGGAGGGGGUCUGCUAAAUCUGAAUGAUGCUUCCAGCAGUGGACCCACUGAUCUCAGCAUGAAGAGACAAUUGGCGACUAGCUCAGGAUCCUCCAGCAGCUCAAACUCCAGACCCCAGCUGAGUCCAACUGAAAUCAAUGCCGUGAGACAGCUUGUUGCAGGAUAUCGAGAAUCAGCUGCAUUUUUAUUGCGAUCUGCAGAUGAACUGGAAAAUCUCAUUUUACAACAGAACUGAGACAGACGACCACCAUAUUCACUGAGGUCUAAAUUUGCAGUUUCCACUAAUGACAUUUUGAUUUCCCAACAGAGAUACUUCUGGUCUUACUGCACAGUCUUUUAAGAGAAAUACUUCCAUUAUGCCACAUUGUCCUUGAUCCGUAAGUGAUGUGUUAAGGUGCUUCAAAGGAACUCUGACCUCUGAAGUACUUGAGCUACUUUAGUAUGUCCAGCCUAUUGCUUUUUGUUUUAGUGUGUCACCAUAAAUAUCAGGGGCAUAAAAGGCUAUCUAUUCUUAAUUCAAGGAUAAAACAGAAGAAGCUUG
rnacentral:lncRNA from 1 species